CUGAGUGAGGGCCUUCUGGUCCGACCUCCAACCCCAUGUUAUCCGACACUGUUGCCUCCGGGGCGACCCGGCCUUCGGGCGUCGGGGCCCCGGGUGGACCAUUCAAACACUGCAUCUUUGCGUCUGAGUACACGAUUGAAUCAAUCA
rnacentral:misc_RNA from 2 species